rnacentral:tRNA from 1 species
GGGGAUGUAGGCUAACUGGUAAACCAGCUCCUUCAGACGGUGCAAUAUCGGGUUCAAGUCCCGACAUCUCCA